CCUACGGGAGGCAGCAGUGGGGAAUAUUGGACAAUGGGCGCAAGCCUGAUCCAGCAAUGCCGCGUGUGUGAAGAAGGCCUUCGGGUUGUAAAGCUCUUUUAUCAGGAACGAAAUACCACGGGUCAAUAACCGGUGGGGCUGACGGUACCUGAGGAAUAAGCACCGGCUAACUUCGUGCCAGCAGCCGCGGUAAUACGAAGGGUGCAAGCGUUAAUCGGAAUUACUGGGCGUAAAGGGUGCGUAGGCGGUUCGUUAAGUCUGUUGUGAAAUCCCCGGGCUCAACCUGGG
rnacentral:rRNA from 1 species